rnacentral:rRNA from 1 species
UUGUGAAAGCCUUCCCCUCAACGGGAGAACGGCAGCCGAUACUGCAUAGCUUGAGUGCGGGAGGGGAGAGUGGAACUUCUGGUGGAGCGGUGAAAUGCGUAGAUAUCAGAAGGAACGCCGGCGGCGAAAGCGACUCUCUGGCCCGUAACUGACGCUGAGUGUGCGAAAGCUAGGGGAGCAAACGGGAUUAGAUACCCCGGUAGUCCUAGCCGUAAACGAUGGGCACUAAGUAGAGGG